UACGUAGGGUGCAAGCGUUGUUCGGAAUACUGGGCGUAAAGGGCUCGUAGGCGGCCAACUAAGUCGGACGUGAAAUCCCCAGGCUCAACCUGGGAACUGCGUCCGAUACUGGUGGGCUUGAAUCCGGGAGAGGGAUGCGGAAUUCCAGGUGUAGCGGUGAAAUGCGUAGAUAUCUGGAGGAACACCGGUGGCGAAGGCGGCAUCCUGGACCGGCAUUGACGCUGAGGCGCGAAAGCUAGGGGAGCAAACGGG
rnacentral:rRNA from 1 species